AUGAGACCAGAAGAGCGCUCCCGGCAGUUCGUGGUGGGACCGCGCAACCUGGCGUGGUGGCGGCGGCCGGACGGCGCCGUGGUUGUUAGUUGGAGACUUGGAGUACUCUGCUAUUUCGCACCCUUUUCCUUUUCUGUUUGUUUUCUUCGCCCUUUUUCCGUUGGUGUCGAAAAGAGCCUUCGGCGUGAGCAAGCAGCCUCCUUUUCUUGUGUAUUAUCAUCAUCUUUGUUCUUUUCUGUGGCUGCCGUUUGUGCAAUUUCUGAGUUCCUGAUGGCUGGCGACAGCGAUGCUCAGCAUGGGGAAAACUCAGGUAGCUGCCGCCGGUUGCUCUCAACAAGAUGGCCCUGCGAUCAUAUUUUUACAUUUCAUCUUUGUACCGUACCGCGAAUACAAUAA
rnacentral:rRNA from 1 species